GCAAGGACAUGGAAUCCGCCCAAAUGCCUGUCAAUGACAGACUGGAUUAAGAAAAUAUGGUACAGACGCUGACCAAAACCUGUGGUCAUGGCAAACCAGGUUAUCAAGUGCAAGGCUACAGUUGCCUGGGAGGCUGGAAAGCCUCUCUCCUUAAAGGAGAUAGAGGUGGAACCCCCAAAGGCUCAUGAAGUUCAAAUCAAGAUCAUUGCCACUGCAGUUUGCCACACCGACGCCUAUACUCUGAGCGGAGGUGAUUCUGAGGGUUGUUUUCCAGUGAUCUUGGGACAUGAAGGUGCUGGAAUUGUGGAAAGUGUUGGCGGGAGAGUUCCUAAGCUGAAGGCAGGUGACACUGUCAUCCCACUUUACAUCCCACAGUGUGGACAAUGAAAUUUUGUCUAAAUCCUAAAACUAACCUUUGCCAGAAGGUAAGAGUCACUCCAGGGAAAGGAUUCGUGCCAGAUGGUACCGGCGGAUUUACUUGCAAAGGAAAGACGAUUUUACAUUACAUGGGAACCGGCACAUCUUCUGAAUACACAGUUGUGGCUGAUAUCUCUGCUGCUAAAAUAGAUCCUUUGGCACCUUUGGAUAAAGUGUGCCUUCUAGGUUGUGGCAUCUCAACUGGUUAUGGUGCUGCUGUGCACACUGCCAAGGUGGAGUCUGGCUCUGCUUGUGCUGUCUUUGGCCUGGGAGGAGUUGGAUUGGCAGUUAUAGUGGGCUGCAAGGUGGCUGGUGCAUCCCAGAUCAUUGGUGUGGACAUCAGUAAAGAUAAAUGAACAAGGGCCAAAGAGUUGGGAGCCACUGAAUGUAUUAACCCUUAGGAUUUUAGUAGGCCUAUCCAGGAAGUGCCCACUGAGAUGACUGAUGGAGAAGUGGACUAUUCCUUUGGAUGUAUUGGUAAUAGGAAGGUCAUGAGAGCAGCACUUGAGGCAUGUCACAAGGGCUGAGGCGUCAGCGUGGUGAUUUGGAGUAGCUGCUUCAGGUGGAGAAAUUGCCAAUCGUCCAUUACAGCUGGUAACAGGUGGCACAUGGAACGGCACUGCCUUCGGAGGAUGGAAGAGUGCAGAAAAUGCCCCAAAGUUGGUGUCUGAAUAUAUGUCCAAAAAGAUAAAAGUUGACGACUUUGUGACUCACAAUCUGUCUUUUGAUGAAAUUAACAAAGCCUUUGAACUGAUGCAUUCUGGAAAGAGCAUUCGAACUGUUGUAAAGAUUUAAUUCAAAAGAGAAAAAUAACAUCCAUCCUGUGGUGACACGACGGGAGCAGCCUAACAGGCAGGGAGAAGCGCCUCCAAGCUCGCAGCGUCAUAGACCUUCAGCAGCUACUCCACACAAUCGUGUGAUAUGUGUAAUUCCUGAAGCUCUGUAAUCAAGGACAGGGAUAAUUCAGUCAGGAACCUGUUUUCCGGACACUCCCCCACAUAAACAAUUGCUAGCUCAUUAAGGAAUAUUUUAACAUGAAAA